UAUUAUAUACAUGUAGUUUAGUCAGGAUAUAUUGGAAGGAAGGCAGGUACAAUACCACACAAUACCAAAAAAUGGGCCACUGAAGUUGGCAAUAAGGGGAGGAAGGGACACACCACUUGGACCCAAAAUAAUAAUAUCAAGAAUAAUUGAAGGAGGAGCAGCUCAUAGCUAUGGUAAACUCAACGUUGGUGAUCAGGUGCUGGUAUGUGAUGGUGUCAGUCUUGUUGAUGUGUCACAUGAUGAAGCUGGAGAAGCUUUCAAAAGAGCAAUGGACUCACGCUCGGGAUCUAUUGACCUUGUUGUUGCUGUUAAUCCUGAGCCAUAGCCAAGAACUUUGCCUCUUCUAAAACUUUUAUGAAGCUGCUAUUAACACUGUCCUGUUUUUAUAGUUUUAAUAACAUGCUAUAAAACUAAUUUUUUUUGAAAAUAAAAAGCUAUAACUAGCUAUCAAAUCA